CUGCCAUCUUUCAUAGUUUGAAGGUGUGGUGGUACAAGCUGGCUUGGCCUGAUCCAGAUUCAAGUGUACAGUUCCUUCAAAUAAUGUUGGAAAACAUGUAUUCCUCUGUAUAUAUUAUGUUGGUGCUCUGUGUGAGAGAGCAGAUGAUAUGCUUGAGGAAACAUCAAGGGUUAUCUCAUUUGCCAAAAGGUUUGUGUCGGAGCCCAGAAUGUUGAACACAUUCAAAAGGAAAUGGAACGACUACUUGAAAUCAUUGGCUUUGACUCACAAGUUCAUAAAAUCUGCCAAGCUGGUGGCUCAAGCCUUGUUAGCCAAAUACGAGCCAGUGUGGAUACAUUGUUUCUUAGCAAAGCAGAUGACAUGA